AGAGUUUGAUCCUGGCUCAGGAUGAACGCUGGCGGCGUGCUUAACACAUGCAAGUCGAACGAAGCACCUUGAUUUGAUUCUUCGGAUGAAGAUCUUGGUGACUGAGUGGCGGACGGGUGAGUAACGCGUGGGUAACCUGCCUCAUACAGGGGGAUAACAGUUAGAAAUGACUGCUAAUACCGCAUAAGACCACAGCACCGCAUGGUGCAGGGGUAAAAACUCCGGUGGUAUGAGAUGGACCCGCGUCUGAUUAGGUAGUUGGUGGGGUAACGGCCUACCAAGCCGACGAUCAGUAGCCGACCUGAGAGGGUGACCGGCCACAUUGGGACUGAGACACGGCCCAAACUCCUACGGGAGGCAGCAGUGGGGAAUAUUGCACAAUGGGGGAAACCCUGAUGCAGCGACGCCGCGUGAGCGAUGAAGUAUUUCGGUAUGUAAAGCUCUAUCAGCAGGGAAGAAAAUGACGGUACCUGACUAAGAAGCACCGGCUAAAUACGUGCCAGCAGCCGCGGUAAUACGUAUGGUGCAAGCGUUAUCCGGAUUUACUGGGUGUAAAGGGAGCGUAGACGGAGUGGCAAGUCUGAUGUGAAAACCCGGGGCUCAACCCCGGGACUGCAUUGGAAACUGUCAAUCUGGAGUACCGGAGAGGUAAGCGGAAUUCCUAGUGUAGCGGUGAAAUGCGUAGAUAUUAGGAGGAACACCAGUGGCGAAGGCGGCUUACUGGACGGUAACUGACGUUGAGGCUCGAAAGCGUGGGGAGCGAACAGGAUUAGAUACCCUGGUAGUCCACGCCGUAAACGAUGAAUGCUAGGUGUAGGAGGUAUCGACCCCUUCUGUGCCGGAGUUAACGCAAUAAGCAUUCCGCCUGGGGAGUACGGCCGCAAGGCUGAAACUCAAAGGAAUUGACGGGGGCCCGCACAAGCGGUGGAGUAUGUGGUUUAAUUCGACGCAACGCGAAGAACCUUACCAGGGCUUGACAUUGAGUGAAAGGACAAGAGAUUGUCCCCUCUCUUCGGAGACACGAAAACGGGUGGUGCAUGGCUGUCGUCAGCUCGUGUCGUGAGAUGUUGGGUUAAGUCCCGCAACGAGCGCAACCCCUAUCCUUUGUUGCCAGCACGCAAUGGUGGGAACUCAAAGGAGACUGCCGCGGACAACGCGGAGGAAGGCGGGGAUGACGUCAAGUCAUCAUGCCCCUUAUGUCCUGGGCUACACACGUACUACAAUGGGAUGGACAGAGAGCAGCGAAGCCGCGAGGCCAAGCGAACCCCAUAAACCAUCUCCCAGUUCGGAUUGCAGGCUGCAACCCGCCUGCAUGAAGUUGGAAUCGCUAGUAAUCGCAGGUCAGCAUACUGCGGUGAAUACGUUCCCGGGCCUUGUACACACCGCCCGUCACACCACGGAAGUCAUUCACACCCGAAGCCGGCAGGCUAACCUUUAUGGAGGCAGCCGUCUAAGGUGGGGGCGAUGACUGGGGUGAAGUCGUAACAAGGUA
rnacentral:rRNA from 1 species